AUCUCACAUUCCAGUGUUUCUAAUGAAGGUGUAGAUUACAUCUCACAUUCCAGUGUUUCUAAUGGAGGUGUAGAUUACAUCUCACAUUCCAGUGUUUCUAAUGAAGGUGUAGAUUACAUCUCACAUUCCAGUGUUUCUAAUGGAGGUCUAGAUUACAUCUCACAUUCCAGUGUUUCUAAUGAAGGUGUAGAUUACAUCACACAUUCCAGUGUUUCUAAUGGAGGUCUAGAUUACAUCUCACAUUCCAGUGUUUCUAAUGAAGGUGUAGAUUACAUCUCACAUUCCAGUGUUUCUAAUGAAGGUGUAGAUUACAUCUCACAUUCCAGUGUUUCUAAUGGAGGUGUAGAUUACAUCUCACAUUCCAGUGUUCCUAAUGAAGGUGUAGAUUACAUCUCACAUUCCAGUGUUCCUAAUGGAGGUGUAGAUUACAUCUCACAUUCCAGUGUUUCUAAUGAAGGUGUAGAUUACAUCUCACAUUCCAGUGUUCCUAAUGAAGGUGUAGAUUACAUCUCACAUUCCAGUGUUCCUAAUGGAGGUGUAGAUUACAUCUCACAUUCCAGUGUUUCUAAUGGAGGUGUAGAUUACAUCUCACAUUCCAGUGUUUCUAAUGGAGGUGUAGAUUACAUCUCACAUUCCAGUGUUUCUAAUGGAGGUCUAGAUUACAUCUCACAUUCCAGUGUUUCUAAUGGAGGUCUAGAUUACAUCUCACAUUCCAGUGUUUCUAAUGAAGGUGUAGAUUACAUCUCACAUUCCAGUGUUCCUAAUGGAGGUGUAGAUUACAUCUCACAUUCCAGUGUUUCUAAUGGAGGUCUAGAUUACAUCUCACAUUCCAGUGUUUCUAAUGGAGGUGUAGAUUACAUCUCACAUUCCAGUGUUUCUAAUGGAGGUGUAGAUUACAUCUCACAUUCCAGUGUUUCUAAUGGAGGUCUAGAUUAC
ensembl:lncRNA